UGUAGUAGUUGCUCCGGAAGAAUGGGUAGCUCUCGCCGAUCUGCACGCGCAAAUUUGUGGCAAAUUCGAAUUGAAGGCAAGGCCUCUUGGCGAUCCGUCAGCCGGUAGGCCUGUCUCUGUGUAGCGUCUAGACUCAAGAAUAUGUGCCUGCCAAAAUCAUAGGUCUACUUUGUGUGUGCGUACUCUUUGUUUGUGACUUCUGAAUUUUUAUGUCCGCUGGGCUAGGCGUCUUAUAUGGGUCAAGUAUUGACCAAUCUCUUAAGCUUCAUUUGGAUGUAGAUGUUGAAUUGAGAUGAAUACCAAUAUUCCUGGAAAACAUAA